UCUCUGAUAGCUCAAUGGUAGAGCAAUCGCUUGAUAAGCGAGAGACGAAAGUUCAACUCUUUCUCGGAGGACCA
rnacentral:tRNA from 1 species